rnacentral:rRNA from 1 species
UGGGGAAUAUUGGGCAAUGGGCGCAAGCCUGACCCAGCAACGCCGCGUGAAGGAAGAAGGCUUUCGGGUUGUAAACUUCUUUUAUCAGGGACGAAGCAAGUGACGGUACCUGAUGAAUAAGCCACGGCUAACUACGUGCCAGCAGCCGCGGUAAUACGUAGGUGGCGAGCGUUAUCCGGAUUUACUGGGUGUAAAGGGCGUGUAGGCGGGCUUGCAAGUCAGAUGUGAAAUUCCAGGGCUCAACCCUGGAACUGCAUUUGAAACUGUAGGUCUUGAGUGCUGGAGAGGCAAUCGGAAUUCCGUGUGUAGCGGUGAAAUGCGUAGAUAUACGGAGGAACACCAGUGGCGAAGGCGGAUUGCUGGACAGUAACUGGACGCUGAGGCGCGAAAGCGUGGGGAGCAAACAGGAUUAGAUACCC